ACGAAUUUUCGGCGCGGCCAUCUUUCUUUUGCAUCGAGCAGCCGCCAUUAAUACACCGAUCAACAUCACUCCGCAUUUUACGCGUCUUCUCUCCGUUAAGAGUGAAUCUCAUGCAGAAAUAAGUAUCGAGAGUGUCGAAAUAGAGGUAUAUACGAGACUAUCAGGAAAUAUCGUACUUGUUACGACGUAUCAAGUUAAUGUCUUUCACAUUUGUUAUCAUCAUUGUCUCACUUAAGUAGUAAUAAAAUCAUCGUCGAACUUAUUAUUCGGAAAUUAUAAAUUCAGUGAUAAUCAGAGGAAAAGAAGGAAUGACUAUAUCAAAGAUAUUCACGGAACUUGGAGAAUAACGUCGAUCAUCACCUUAGGAUCUUGUCAAAUAACAGCAGCAUUCUGGAUCUCAAAGAUAAUCAGGGAAUUUGUCAGAGCUUAUGAUUACGAAGUAGUGCGACUCCGGAAGGUGGAUGUGGACACUGUACUGGAAGAUCCGGUUCGAGCCACGCAGAAUCAAAGAUCUGUAGCGGAACGCGACCGACUCUGAGUUCCUGGUAUUUCGGGGGAUACAGCGGCAGGCUUCAUCGAUGGAUGUGAACGGCUGGACAUCAACGUUGGAUAUCGACGCGAAAUAGUGAGUG